rnacentral:rRNA from 1 species
ACGGUGGAUGCCUGGGCACGAGGAGCCGAUGAAGGACGUAGGAGUCUGCGAUAAGCCUCGGGGAGGUGACAACCGACCUGUGAUCCGAGGAUGUCCGAAUGGGGAAACCCACCGCGAGUCAUGUCGCGGUACCCGCCACUGAAUGUAUAGGUGGUGUGGAGGGAACGCGGGGAAGUGAAACAUCUCAGUACCCGCAGGAAGAGAAAACAAAUAGUGAUUCCGUGAGUAGUGGCGAGCGAAAGCGGAAGUGGCUAAACCUGGUCUGUGUGAUACCCGGCAGGGGUUGCAGGUUGGGGGUUGUGGGACGUAUCUGGAUUGUCUGCCGGCGAUCCGACGUGGACGUGCAUUGGUAGUCGAAGUCGUGUUGAGUGCGACGGCGUAGAGGGUGUGACCCCCGUAGACGAAACUGUUGUGCGGCGUGAUGCUGUUCCCGAGUAGCACCGGGCCCGUGAAAUCCGGUGUGAAUCUGCCAGGACCACCUGGUAAGCCUGAAUACUACCUCGUGACCGAUAGCGGACAAGUACCGUGAGGGAAAGGUGAAAAGCACCCCGGGAGGGGAGUGAAAUAGUACCUGAAACCGUGCGCUUACAAUCCGUCGGAGCCUUACGGGGUGACGGCGUGCCUUUUGAAGAAUGAGCCUGCGAGUUAGUGGUCGGUGGCGAGGUUAACCCGUGUGGGGUAGCCGUAGCGAAAGCGAGUCUGAACGGGGCGUUCAGUCGCCGGCUCUAGACCCGAAGCGAAGUGAUCUAUCCAUGGGCAGUGUGAAGCGCGGGUAAGACCGCGUGGAGGCGCGAACCCACUUCAGUUAAAAAUGGAGGGGAUGACCUGUGGAUAGGGGUGAAAGGCCAAUCAAACUUCGUGAUAGCCGGUUCUCCCCGAAAUGCAUUUAGGUGCAGCGUUGCGUGUUUCGUGCCGGAGGUAGAGCACUGGAUAGGCGAUGGGCCCCACCGGGUUACUGACCUUAGCCAAACUCCGAAUGCCGGUACGUGAGAGCGCAGCAGUGAGACUGUGGGGGAUAAGCUUCAUAGUCGAGAGGGAAACAGCCCAGAACAUCAGCUAAGGCCCCUAAGCGUGUGCUAAGUGGAAAAGGAUGUGGAGUUGCUGAGACAACCAGGAGGUUGGCUUAGAAGCAGCCACCCUUGAAAGAGUGCGUAAUAGCUCACUGGUCAAGUGAUUCCGCGCCGACAAUGUAGCGGGGCUCAAGUACACCGCCGAAGCUGUGUCAUUUCACUUUAUUGUGGGAUGGGUAGGGGAGCGUCGUGCAGACAGCGAAGCCGCGGGGUGACCCAGUGGUGGAGUCUGUACGAGUGAGAAUGCAGGCAUGAGUAGCGAAAGACGGGUGAGAAACCCGUCCGCCGAUUGAUCAAGGGUUCCAGGGCCAGGUUAAUCCGCCCUGGGUUAGUCGGGACCUAAGGCGAGGCCGACAGGCGUAGUCGAUGGACAUCGGGUUGAUAUUCCCGAACCGAUCGUAGGAGGACCCAUACCGAGGCAUCUGAUGCUAACCACCCGAGCUUGCCUCGUGCCCUUCGGGGUGCGUGCGUGAGCGAGGCUGGGAACCAAGGGUGUAGUAGGUCAGCGCGAGGGAUGACGCAGAGAGGUAGCUUCCGCGGACUUAAUGGAAUAGUCCGUCUAAGCGUGCAGCCCGGUCACGGUAAUGCGUGGCCAUGAGGGUGAGACGUGAUGGGGAUCCCGUAUGGGCGUAGGUGAGUGAUCCUGUACUGCCGAGAAAAGUUCCAGCGUGACGAAUACGGUCGCCCGUACCCUAAACCGACUCAGGUGAUCAGGUAGAGAAUACCGAGGCGUUCGAGAGAAUCGUGGUUAAGGAACUCGGCAAAAUGCCCCCGUAACUUCGGGAGAAGGGGGGCCCAAGGAGUGAGAGCUCUGAGGGCCGCAGAGACCAGGGAGAAGCGACUGUUUACUAAAAACACAGGUCCGUGCGAAGUCGUAAGACGCUGUAUACGGACUGACGCCUGCCCGGUGCUGGAAGGUUAAGAGGACGGGUCAGCUCUUCGGAGCGAAGCUCAGAAUUUAAGCCCCAGUAAACGGCGGUGGUAACUAUAACCAUCCUAAGGUAGCGAAAUUCCUUGUCGGGUAAGUUCCGACCUGCACGAAUGGCGUAACGACUUCCCCGCUGUCUCCAACAUCGACUCAGCGAAAUUGAACUGCCCGUGAAGAUGCGGGCUUCCCGCGGUUAGACGGA